UACAGAGGUGGCAAGCGUUGUUCGGAAUUACUGGGCGUAAAGGGCGCGUAGGCGGCCUUCUAAGUCAGACGUGAAAUCCCCAGGCUUAACUUGGGAACUGCGUCUGAUACUGGAAGGCUUGAGUGCGGGAGAGGGAUGUGGAAUUCCAGGUGUAGCGGUGAAAUGCGUAGAUAUCAGGAGGAACACCGGUGGCGAAGGCGUCCCUCUGGCCGGAUACUGACGCUGAGACGCGAAAGCGUGGGGAGCAAACAGG
rnacentral:rRNA from 1 species